ACGGGAGGCAGCAGUGGGGAAUAUUGCACAAUGGGGGAAACCCUGAUGCAGCGACGCCGCGUGAGUGAAGAAGUAUUUCGGUAUGUAAAGCUCUAUCAGUAGGGAAGAAAAUGACGGUACCUAACUAAGAAGCCCCGGCUAACUACGUGCCAGCAGCCGCGGUAAUACGUAGGGGGCAAGCGUUAUCCGGAUUUACUGGGUGUAAAGGGAGCGUAGACGGCAAAGCAAGUCUGAUGUGAAAUGCGGGGGCUUAACCCCUGAACUGCAUUGGAAACUGUUUAGCUAGAGUGCAGGAGAGGUAAGUGGAAUUCCUAGUGUAGCGGUGAAAUGCGUAGAUAUUAGGAGGAACACCGGUGGCGAAGGCGGCUUACUGGACUGUAACUGACGUUGAGGCUCGAAAGCGUGGGGAGCAAACAGGAUUAGAUACCCUGGUA
rnacentral:rRNA from 1 species